GAAGUUAGCGGCGGACGGGUGAGUAACACGUGGGUAACCUGCCCAUAAGACUGGGAUAACUCCGGGAAACCGGGGCUAAUACCGGAUAACAUUUUGAACUGCAUGGUUCGAAAUUGAAAGGCGGCUUCGGCUGUCACUUAUGGAUGGACCCGCGUCGCAUUAGCUAGUUGGUGAGGUAACGGCUCACCAAGGCAACGAUGCGUAGCCGACCUGAGAGGGUGAUCGGCCACACUGGGACUGAGACACGGCCCAGACUCCUACGGGAGGCAGCAGUAGGGAAUCUUCCGCAAUGGACGAAAGUCUGACGGAGCAACGCCGCGUGAGUGAUGAAGGCUUUCGGGUCGUAAAACUCUGUUGUUAGGGAAGAACAAGUGCUAGUUGAAUAAGCUGGCACCUUGACGGUACCUAACCAGAAAGCCACGGCUAACUACGUGCCAGCAGCCGCGGUAAUACGUAGGUGGCAAGCGUUAUCCGGAAUUAUUGGGCGUAAAGCGCGCGCAGGUGGUUUCUUAAGUCUGAUGUGAAAGCCCACGGCUCAACCGUGGAGGGUCAUUGGAAACUGGGAG
rnacentral:rRNA from 1 species